GACGAACGCUGGCGGCGUGCCUAAUACAUGCAAGUCGAGCGCAGGAAGCUCACGGAACUCUUCGGAGGGAAGUGAAGGGAAUGAGCGGCGGACGGGUGAGUAACACGUAAGGAACCUGCCCCAAGGAUUGGGAUAACUCCGAGAAAUCGGAGCUAAUACCGAAUAGUUCUUCAGACCGCAUGGUCUGAUGAUGAAAGGCGCUUCGGCUUCACCUUGGGAUGGCCUUGCGGUGCAUUAGCUAGUUGGUGGGGUAGUGGCCCACCAAGGCGACGAUGCAUAGCCGACCUGAGAGGGUGAUCGGCCACACUGGGACUGAGACACGGCCCAGACUCCUACGGGAGGCAGCAGUAGGGAAUCUUCCACAAUGGACGAAAGUCUGAUGGAGCAACGCCGCGUGAGUGAUGAAGGUUUUCGGAUCGUAAAACUCUGUUGUAAGGGAAGAACAGGUAUGAGAGGUAAUGCUCAUGCUAUGACGGUACCUUGCGAGAAAGCCACGGCUAACUACGUGCCAGCAGCCGCUGUAACAC
rnacentral:rRNA from 1 species